rnacentral:rRNA from 1 species
CGUAGGGGGCGAGCGUUGUCCGGAAUCAUUGGGCGUAAAGAGCUCGUAGGCGGCUCAAUAAGUCGGGUGUGAAACCCCCAGGCUCAACCUGGGGACGCCACCCGAUACUGUUGUGGCUAGAGUCCAGUAGGGGAGUGUGGAAUUCCCGGUGUAGCGGUGAAAUGCGCAGAUAUCGGGAGGAACACCAGCGGCGAAGGCGGCACUCUGGGCUGGUACUGACGCUGAGGAGCGAAAGCGUGGGUAGCAAACAGGAUUAGAUACCCUGGUAGUCCACGCCGUAAACGUUGGGCACUAGGUGUGGGGCCUUUCCAACGGGUUCCGUGCCGUAGCUAACGCAUUAAGUGCCCCGCCUGGGGAGUACGGCCGCAAGGCUA